AAAAUAUAUUCCGUCUGACCUUGUUGUUCUUGAGAUUGAUGGAUGCGGCCCGGGCCAGGCGACGCGGCCGUGCGGCUCCAGGGCUGGCCACCAGAGGGCGCGCCGCGGCCUGGCGCGCUCGCGGGAUGGGACGUGCCGGGCAGCAGUGGAAUGUUUGCACAGUUACCUCUACCCUGGAGCAUCUUAGAUCACUUCCUCUUUGCGACAAAGCACUUGAACGAAAGGCUCGGAAAUGGUGCCCAGAGGUUAAGCUGGCACGGAUAUCAAUUGCCAGAGCUACAGGCGAGAAAGCAGCCUGCUUCGCCCCGAGCCUCCGUCUGACCGUGGAAUUAAAAAUGAAUCACAUUCCUAAUAAAUGUAAUCCCGCAAAUUCUCUGAAUGAACAGCGCCGAGAGCACGAGCUGGCACGGACGAGCGCUUCGGAGAGGACUCUGCCCACGGCUUCCACAGCCAAGCCCCCCCUUUCCCCCCCAGAACAGGCGAGAGUGCUAAGUAUUUGUGCAGAUGACGCCCUUGGAAAGCCCUGCACCUCCUUUUAGUUGGGGGCCAUUUGCACUUUCUCGGCAGUGUCUAAAUGCAUCGCAUCCAGGUCCCACACACGUUUUGGGGACAUCGUUCGAGGGCGAGGCUUUGCCACGGGCUUCCGCGCUAACGGCCCCAGGCUAAGGGCCGUGGUUCCUCGUGGCCUCUCCAGAUACCGUGGUCGGGGACUCACUCCUAUUGGAGACAAUCCUUUGAUUUAUUUUCCUCAGCACUUGUGCCAGAACCAACUGUAUUACAGGCUGUCUAAUUGAGACUUGGCAGCAGGCAGGCAGCCCGGAUCACAGGCAGCCCAAGCGCAGAUCUCGGAUCCCAGGCCAGUGGGCACUUAGCACGUCUCGGAAGCAAAGCCGGCCGUCCGCGUUCCAGCAGCGCGUGCCAAUGCUGCUGCCCCGGCAGCCCCUGGCUGAUCCACGGGCUGCUCUGCCAUCGGUUCCAGAAGGAGCCACUUGUGAGCUAUUAAAGACAGCAAUGAAGUGCCGUGGUGACAGUGGUGAUUCGGGGAAAGGCGGAGGAACCAUCCGGGAGGGCGGUCUCCUCUUUUCCACUUCGGCCAGUCUGUG
rnacentral:lncRNA from 1 species